rnacentral:rRNA from 1 species
UACGAAGGGGGCUAGCGUUGCUCGGAAUCACUGGGCGUAAAGGGUGCGUAGGCGGGUCUUUAAGUCAGGGGUGAAAUCCUGGAGCUCAACUCCAGAACUGCCUUUGAUACUGAAGAUCUUGAGUUCGGGAGAGGUGAGUGGAACUGCGAGUGUAGAGGUGAAAUUCGUAGAUAUUCGCAAGAACACCGGUGGCGAAGGCGGCCCACUGGCUCGAUACUGACGCUGAGGUGCGAAAGCGUGGGGAGCAAACAGG